rnacentral:rRNA from 1 species
AAAGUCGAGCGGCAAGCCGUAGCAAUACGGCCUAGAGCGGCGGACUGGUGAGUAACGCGUGGGUGACCUGCCCUUGGGAUGGGGAUAGCCAUUAGAAAUAGUGGGUAAUACCGAAUACGGUUGCAAGAUUGGGAUUUUGCAAAGAAAGGAGCUAAGGCUCCGCCCGGGGAUGGACCCGCGUCCCAUUAGGUAGUUGGUAGGGUAAAGGCGUACCAAGCCAGAGAUGGGUAGCCGGCCUGAGAGGGUGAACGGCCACACUGGGACUGAGAUACGGCCCAGACUCCUACGGGAGGCAGCAGCUAAGAAUAUUCCGCAAUGGACGAAAGUCUGACGGAGCGACGCCGCGUGGAUGAGGAAGGCCGAAAGGUUGUAAAAUCCUUUUAUUGCGGAGGAAUAAGCGGGGGAGGGAAUGCCCCCGUGAUGACGACAAGCAAUGAAUAAGCCCCGGCUAAUUACGUGCCAGCAGCCGCGGUAACACGUAAGGGGCGAGCGUUGUUCGGAAUUAUUGGGCGUAAAGGGCGCGUAGGCGGUUAUGUAAGCCUGGCGUGAAAUACUCUGGCUUAACCAGAGAACGGCGCUGGGAACUGUAUGACUAGAGUCAUGGAGGGGGAGUUGGAAUUCCUGGUGUAGGGGUGAAAUCUGUAGAUAUCAGGAAGAACACCGGUGGCGAAGGCGAACUUCUAGCCAAUGACUGACGCUAGGCGCGAAAG